GAUGAAGAACGCAGCGAAAUGCGAUAAGUAAUGUGAAUUGCAGAAUUCAGUGAAUCAUCGAAUCUUUGAACGCACCUUGCGCCCUUUGGCCAUUCCGAAGGGCAUGCCUGUUUGAGUAUCAUGAACACCUCAACUCUUUAUGGUUUUCCAUGAUGAGCUUGGACUCUGGGGGUUUUGCUGGCUCACAGUCGGCUCCCCUAAAAUGAAUCAGCUUACCAGUGUUUGGUGGGUAUCAUGGGUGUGAUAACUAUCUACGCUUGUGGUUUUUCCACCAGGUAACCUUCAGCAGUGGAGGUUCGCUGGAGCUCAUAGAUGUCUCUCCUCAGUGAGGACAGCCCUUUGAAUGUUUGAUCUCAAAUCAGGUAGGACUACCCGCUGAACUUAAGCAUAUCAAUAAGCGGAGGA
rnacentral:misc_RNA from 1 species